UACGUAGGGGGCUAGCGUUGUCCGGAAUCAUUGGGCGUAAAGAGCGUGUAGGCGGCCCGGUAAGUCCGCUGUGAAAGUCGGGGGCUCAACCCUCGAAUGCCGGUGGAUACUGUCGGGCUAGAGUGCGGAAGAGGCGAGUGGAAUUCCUGGUGUAGCGGUGAAAUGCGCAGAUAUCAGGAGGAACACCAAUUGCGAAGGCAGCUCGCUGGGACGUAACUGACGCUGAGAACGCGAAAGCCGUGGGGAGCAAACAGG
rnacentral:rRNA from 1 species